rnacentral:misc_RNA from 1 species
GAUGAAGAACGCAGCGAAAUGCGAUAAGUAAUGUGAAUUGCAGAAUUCAGUGAAUCAUCGAAUCUUUGAACGCGCAUUGCGCCCGCCAGUAUUCUGGCGGGCAUGCCUGUUCGAGCGUCAUUUCAACCAUCAAGCCCCCGGCUUGUGUUGGGGACCUGCGGCUGCCGCAGGCCCUGAAAACCAGUGGCGGGCUCGCUAGUCACUCCGAGCGUAGUAAUACAUCUCGCUCAGGGCGUGCUGCGGGUUCCGGCCGUUAAAAGCCUUAUUUACCCAAGGUUGACCUCGGAUCAGGUAGGAAGACCCGCUGAACUUAAGCAUAUCAAUAAGCGGAGGA